rnacentral:ncRNA from 1 species
AGAACUUUUUUGAUAUAAACAGCAGGACGGUGGCCAUGGAAGUUAGAAUCCGCUAAGGAGUGUGUAACAACUCACCUGCCGAAUCAACUAGCCCUGAAAAUGGAUGGCG